rfam:Trichinella nativa scaffold301s, whole genome shotgun sequence.
CCAACGGCCCUUUUCAGGGCCCAAAUUAUUAUACUGCCGUUUUAUU